CAUGCAAGUCGAACGAGAAAGCGGGCUUCGGCCCGUGAGUACAGUGGCAGACGGGGGAGUAAUACGUGGGUAACCUGCCCGGAGGGGGGGGAUAACCUUUUUAACGGAGGGCUAAUACCGCAUAACAUCUCGAGGUCUUCGGACUUCGAGAUCAAAGCUAGCCUCUACUUUUAAGCUAGUACCACCGGAGGGACUCGCGCUCCAUUAGCUUGAUGGGGAGGUAACGGCUCACCAUGGCGACGAUGGAUAGCCGGCCUGAGAGGGCGAUCGGCCACACUGGAACUGAGACACGGUCCAGACUCCUACGGGAGGCAGCAGUGAGGAAUCUUGCGCAAUGGGCGAAAGCCUGACGCAGCGACGCCGCGUGGAGGACGAAGGCCUUCGGGUCGUAAACUCCUGUCAAGAGGGACGAAUGCUGCAGGGAUGAAUAAGCCCUGCAGUUGACGGUACCUCUGAAGGAAGCCCCGGCUAACUCCGUGCCAGCAGCCGCGGUAAUACGGAGGGGGCAAGCGUUUUUCGGAAUUAUUGGGCGUAAAGGGCGCGUAGGCGGCCUGGUAAGUCAGUUUUGAAAGCCCUCGGCUCAACCGAGGAAUUGCGACUGAUACUGCCGGGCUUGAGUCCUGGAGAGGGUAGUGGAAUUCCCAGUGUAGCGGGGAAAUGCGUAGAUACUGGGAGGAACACCGGGGGCGAAGGCGACUACCUGGACAGGUACUGACGCUGAGGCGCGAAAGCGUGGGGAGCAAACAGGAUUAGAUACCCUGGUAGUCCACGCCGUAGGU
rnacentral:rRNA from 1 species